rnacentral:rRNA from 1 species
GGGAUAUUGCACAAUGGGCGCAAGCCUGAUGCAGCGACGCCGCGUGAAGGAAGACGUAUUUCGGUAUGUAAACUUCUAUCAGCGGGGAAGAAGAUGACGGUACCCGACUAAGAAGCCCCGGCUAAUUACGUGCCAGCAGCCGCGGUAAUACGUAAGGGGCAAGCGUUAUCCGGAUUUACUGGGUGUAAAGGGAGCGUAGACGGUGAGGCAAGUCUGAUGUGAAAACCCGGGGCUCAACUCCGGGAUUGCAUUGGAAACUGUCUGACUUGAGUACUGGAGGGGUAAGCGGAAUUCCUGGUGUAGCGGUGAAAUGCGUAGAUAUCAGGAGGAACACCGGUGGCGAAGGCGGCUUACUGGACAGUAACUGACGUUGAGGCUCGAAAGCGUGGGGAGCAAACA